rnacentral:rRNA from 1 species
GACGAACGCUGGCGGCGUGCUUAACACAUGCAAGUCGAACGAAGUGGCGAACGGGUGAGUAAUACGUGGGUAACCUGCCCUCCUUUUUGGGAUACGCAUUGGGAACGGGGUCUAAUACCGAAUAAAGGGGGAUGGGCUCGCGGACUAUCAGCUUGUUGGUGGGGUGAUGGCCUACCAAGGCGGUGACGGGUAGCCGGGCUGAGAGGUGGACCGGCCACUUUGGGACGGUGAUACGGCCCAGAGUCCUACGGGGGGGAGAAGUGGGGGAAAUUGCACAAUGGGCGAUAGAGUGAUGCAGCGUCGCCGCGUGGGGGAUGAGGGCUUUCGGGUUGUAAACCUCGUUCGCUAUCGAGCGGGUAGGUGGAGAAGAAGCGCCGGCUAACUACGUGCCAGCAGCCGCGGUAAUAC